rnacentral:rRNA from 1 species
UACGUAGGGCGCAAGCGUUGUCCGGAAUUAUUGGGCGUAAAGAGCUCGUAGGCGGCUUGUCACGUCGGGUGUGAAAACCCGGGGCUCAACCCCGGGCGUGCAUUCGAUACUGCGCGGCUCGAGACAGGUAGGGGAGAUCGGAAUUCCUGGUGUAGCGGUGAAAUGCGCAGAUAUCAGGAGGAACACCGGUGGCGAAGGCGGAUCUCUGGGCCUGUUCUGACGCUGAGGCGCGAAAGCUAGGGGAGCGAACAGG